rnacentral:rRNA from 1 species
UACAGAGGUGGCAAGCGUUGUUCGGAAUUACUGGGCGUAAAGGGCGCGUAGGCGGUUCGUUAAGUCCUGUGUGAAAUCCCCCGGCUUAACCUGGGAACUGCGUCUGAUACUGGAAGGCUUGAGUAUGGGAGAGGGAUGUAGAAUUCCAGGUGUAGCGGUGAAAUGCGUAGAUAUCUGGAGGUAUACCGGUGGCGAAGGCGGCAUCCUGGACCAUUACUGACGCUGAGGCGCGAAAGCUAGGGGAGCAAACGGG